rnacentral:rRNA from 1 species
GGGUUGUGAGGUUAAGCGACUAAGCGUACACGGUGGAUGCCCUGGCAGUCAGAGGCGAUGAAGGACGUGCUAAUCUGCGAUAAGCGUCGGUAAGGUGAUAUGAACCGUUAUAACCGGCGAUUUCCGAAUGGGGAAACCCAGUGUGUUUCGACACACUAUCAUUAACUGAAUCCAUAGGUUAAUGAGGCGAACCGGGGGAACUGAAACAUCUAAGUACCCCGAGGAAAAGAAAUCAACCGAGAUUCCCCCAGUAGCGGCGAGCGAACGGGGAGGAGCCCAGAGCCUGAAUCAGUGUGUGUGUUAGUGGAAGCGUCUGGAAAGGCGCGCGAUACAGGGUGACAGCCCCGUACACAAAAAUGCACAUGCUGUGAGCUCGAUGAGUAGGGCGGGACACGUGGUAUCCUGUCUGAAUAUGGGGGGACCAUCCUCCAAGGCUAAAUACUCCUGACUGACCGAUAGUGAACCAGUACCGUGAGGGAAAGGCGAAAAGAACCCCGGCGAGGGGAGUGAAAAAGAACCUGAAACCGUGUACGUACAAGCAGUGGGAGCACGCUUAGGCGUGUGACUGCGUACCUUUUGUAUAAUGGGUCAGCGACUUAUAUUCUGUAGCAAGGUUAACCGAAUAGGGGAGCCGAAGGGAAACCGAGUCUUAACUGGGCGUUAAGUUGCAGGGUAUAGACCCGAAACCCGGUGAUCUAGCCAUGGGCAGGUUGAAGGUUGGGUAACACUAACUGGAGGACCGAACCGACUAAUGUUGAAAAAUUAGCGGAUGACUUGUGGCUGGGGGUGAAAGGCCAAUCAAACCGGGAGAUAGCUGGUUCUCCCCGAAAGCUAUUUAGGUAGCGCCUCGUGAAUUCAUCUCCGGGGGUAGAGCACUGUUUCGGCAAGGGGGUCAUCCCGACUUACCAACCCGAUGCAAACUGCGAAUACCGGAGAAUGUUAUCACGGGAGACACACGGCGGGUGCUAACGUCCGUCGUGAAGAGGGAAACAACCCAGACCGCCAGCUAAGGUCCCAAAGUCAUGGUUAAGUGGGAAACGAUGUGGGAAGGCCCAGACAGCCAGGAUGUUGGCUUAGAAGCAGCCAUCAUUUAAAGAAAGCGUAAUAGCUCACUGGUCGAGUCGGCCUGCGCGGAAGAUGUAACGGGGCUAAACCAUGCACCGAAGCUGCGGCAGCGACACUAUGUGUUGUUGGGUAGGGGAGCGUUCUGUAAGCCUGCGAAGGUGUGCUGUGAGGCAUGCUGGAGGUAUCAGAAGUGCGAAUGCUGACAUAAGUAACGAUAAAGCGGGUGAAAAGCCCGCUCGCCGGAAGACCAAGGGUUCCUGUCCAACGUUAAUCGGGGCAGGGUGAGUCGACCCCUAAGGCGAGGCCGAAAGGCGUAGUCGAUGGGAAACAGGUUAAUAUUCCUGUACUUGGUGUUACUGCGAAGGGGGGACGGAGAAGGCUAUGUUGGCCGGGCGACGGUUGUCCCGGUUUAAGCGUGUAGGCUGGUUUUCCAGGCAAAUCCGGAAAAUCAAGGCUGAGGCGUGAUGACGAGGCACUACGGUGCUGAAGCAACAAAUGCCCUGCUUCCAGGAAAAGCCUCUAAGCAUCAGGUAACAUCAAAUCGUACCCCAAACCGACACAGGUGGUCAGGUAGAGAAUACCAAGGCGCUUGAGAGAACUCGGGUGAAGGAACUAGGCAAAAUGGUGCCGUAACUUCGGGAGAAGGCACGCUGAUAUGUAGGUGAAGUCCCUCGCGGAUGGAGCUGAAAUCAGUCGAAGAUACCAGCUGGCUGCAACUGUUUAUUAAAAACACAGCACUGUGCAAACACGAAAGUGGACGUAUACGGUGUGACGCCUGCCCGGUGCCGGAAGGUUAAUUGAUGGGGUCAGCGCAAGCGAAGCUCUUGAUCGAAGCCCCGGUAAACGGCGGCCGUAACUAUAACGGUCCUAAGGUAGCGAAAUUCCUUGUCGGGUAAGUUCCGACCUGCACGAAUGGCGUAAUGAUGGCCAGGCUGUCUCCACCCGAGACUCAGUGAAAUUGAACUCGCUGUGAAGAUGCAGUGUACCCGCGGCAAGACGGAAAGACCCCGUGAACCUUUACUAUAGCUUGACACUGAACAUUGAGCCUUGAUGUGUAGGAUAGGUGGGAGGCUUUGAAGUGUGGACGCCAGUCUGCAUGGAGCCGACCUUGAAAUACCACCCUUUAAUGUUUGAUGUUCUAACGUUGACCCGUGAUCCGGGUUGCGGACAGUGUCUGGUGGGUAGUUUGACUGGGGCGGUCUCCUCCUAAAGAGUAACGGAGGAGCACGAAGGUUGGCUAAUCCUGGUCGGACAUCAGGAGGUUAGUGCAAUGGCAUAAGCCAGCUUGACUGCGAGCGUGACGGCGCGAGCAGGUGCGAAAGCAGGUCAUAGUGAUCCGGUGGUUCUGAAUGGAAGGGCCAUCGCUCAACGGAUAAAAGGUACUCCGGGGAUAACAGGCUGAUACCGCCCAAGAGUUCAUAUCGACGGCGGUGUUUGGCACCUCGAUGUCGGCUCAUCACAUCCUGGGGCUGAAGUAGGUCCCAAGGGUAUGGCUGUUCGCCAUUUAAAGUGGUACGCGAGCUGGGUUUAGAACGUCGUGAGACAGUUCGGUCCCUAUCUGCCGUGGGCGCUGGAGAACUGAGGGGGGCUGCUCCUAGUACGAGAGGACCGGAGUGGACGCAUCACUGGUGUUCGGGUUGUCAUGCCAAUGGCACUGCCCGGUAGCUAAAUGCGGAAGAGAUAAGUGCUGAAAGCAUCUAAGCACGAAACUUGCCCCGAGAUGAGUUCUCCCUGACCCUUUAAGGGUCCUGAAGGAACGUUGAAGACGACGACGUUGAUAGGCCGGGUGUGUAAGCGCAGCGAUGCGUUGAGCUAACCGGUACUAAUGAACCGUGAGGCUUAACCUUACAACGCCGAAGCUGUU